AAGUCGUAACAAGGUUUCCGUAGGUGAACCUGCGGAAGGAUCAUUAAAAGAAUCUGCCUCACCCACAGAUAUCUUAUCACGUGUGAACUGUCUAGCUUGUCACCCGAGAUGGACACCUCAGAGAUCUCGGUCUUUGGGGGGUCUGUCUUGGGGGUCAGCUUAUGCUACUGAUUGUGCCCCGAGAAUCUUUAAAAGACUAUAAAACUUUUAGCAAUGGAUCUCUAGGCUCUG
rnacentral:misc_RNA from 1 species